AACGAACGCUGGCGGCAUGCCUAACACAUGCAAGUCGAACGAGACCUUCGGGUCUAGUGGCGCACGGGUGCGUAACGCGUGGGAACCUGCCCUUAGGUUCGGAAUAACUCCCCGAAAGGGGUGCUAAUACCGGAUAAUGUCUUCGGACCAAAGAUUUAUCGCCUUUGGAUGGGCCCGCGUUGGAUUAGCUAGUUGGUAGGGUAAAAGCCUACCAAGGCGACGAUCCAUAGCUGGUCUGAGAGGAUGAUCAGCCACACUGGGACUGAGACACGGCCCAAACUCCUACGGGAGGAGGCGGUGGGAAAAAUUGAAAAAGGGGGGAAAGCCUGAUCCAGCAAGGCCGGGGGAGUGAUAAAGGCCUUAGGGUUGUAAAGCUCUUUUACCCGGGAUAAUAAUGGCAGUACCGGGAGAAAAAGCCCCGGCUAACUCCGU
rnacentral:rRNA from 1 species